CAUGAACGGCAACACUCGAGGUGAAGGUUAAGAUAAAAAAAAACACUAUUAUUUCGUACUCAUCGUAUAAACGUGAAUAUUGUUACAAGUAAAUGCUUAACUUAACUGUUUAACGACUGAUGUACAACUGAUUAAUUAUGAAUGUACACGUUCGAUAUCAAGUUUGAUAAACUGGGAUUUAUAGUGGGAAUUCACUACAAAUAAAAGCCUAGUGUAUGGACUUUAUAUUGCACAACGUUAACUUUAUUUUACUUAAAAAAUGGCUCGGUAGUCAAAGAUUUUCCAACAAUGAAGAGUUUCGGCAGUUGAUGGCUAUUUUAAGGAGCUUGACGAUUUUUAUUGUAAAAUGGGUAUCGAACUUAUUGAACAUCGCUGUGAGAAAUGUAUGGAGCUGAUAGGAUAUUACAUUAAAAAAUAAAUAUAUUUUUUUUCCAAAA